rnacentral:rRNA from 1 species
GACGAACGCUGGCGGCGUGCCUAAUACAUGCAAGUGGGACGCAAGGGAACACACUGUGCUUGCACACCGUGUUUUCUUGAGUCGCGAACGGGUGAGUAACGCGUAGGUAACCUGCCUAUUAGCGGGGGAUAACUAUUGGAAACGAUAGCUAAUACCGCAUAAUAUUAAUUAUUGCAUGAUAAUUGAUUGAAAGAUGCAAGCGCAUCACUAGUAGAUGGACCUGCGUUGUAUUAGCUAGUUGGUAAGGUAAGAGCUUACCAAGGCGACGAUACAUAGCCGACCUGAGAGGGUGAUCGGCCACACUGGGACUGAGACACGGCCCAGACUCCCACGGGAGGCAGCAGUAGGGAAUCUUCGGCAAUGGACGAAAGUCUGACCGAGCAACGCCGCGUGAGUGAAGAAGGUUUUCGGAUCGUAAAGCUCUGUUGUAAGUCAAGAACGUGUGUGAGAGUGGAAAGUUCACACAGUGACGGAGCUACCAGAAAGGAC